CGUGCGGUGAGGAUGAGACAGGUGGAUCACCUGAGGUCAGGAGUUCAAGACCAGCCUGACCAACAUGGAGAAACCCCAUCUCUACUAAAAAUACAAAAUUAGCUGGGCGUGGUGGCACAUGCCUGUAAUCCCAGCUAUUCGGGAGGCUGAGGCAGGAGAAUCGCUUGAACCCGGGAAACGGAGGUUGAGGUAAGCCAAGAUUAUGCCAUUGCACUCCAGCCUGGGCGGCAAGAGUGAAUCUCCACCUUGAGAAAAAAAAAAAAAAAAUACAAAAGAGGAAAAAAAUUCACCUAGGAUACCUGCCACCCCUAAAAUAUCAAGCUCAUUCACUUUUUAAAAAAAUUCCUUUCAGACUCUAUAUCACAAAUGUAUGGUUUUCUUGUUUUGUUUUUUGAGACAGUCGCACUCUCGCCCAGGCUGGAGGCAGUGGCACAAACUCAGCUCACUGCAACCUCCACUUCCCGAGUUCAAGCGAUUCUCCUGCCUCAGCCUCCCUAGUAGCUGGGAUUACAGGUAUAUGCCACAACACCUGGCUAAUUUUUUUGUGUAUUUUUAGUAAAGACGGUGUUUCGCAUGUUGGCCAGGCUGGUCUCGAACUCCUGACCUCGAGUGAUCCACCCGCCUCAGCCUCUCAAAGUGCUGGGAUUACAGGCAUGAGCUACCGUGUCCGGCUAAAUUUAUUUCUUGGUCUUAGAGAUAAUCUUUUAGAAAAUACUUCUUGUGAUGAAGAAACAUUUAAUGUUUGUUUGUUUUUUUGUUUUUUGAGAUGGGGUCUUACUGUCACCCAGGCUGGAGUGCAGUGGUGCA
rnacentral:lncRNA from 1 species